rnacentral:rRNA from 1 species
AGAUGCAGGUUUCCCGCGGUUAGACGGAAAGACCCCGUGCACCUUUACUACAACUUCACACUGGCAUUAGGCCGAACAUGUGCAGGAUAGGUGGUGGGCUUUGAAGCGUGGACGCCAGUCUGCGUGGAGCCUCCCUUGAGAUACCACCCUUGUUCUGCUUGAUGUCUAACCGCGGUCCGUUAUCCGGAUCCGGGACCCUGUGUGGUGGGUAGUUUGACUGGGGCGGUCGCCUCCUAAAUCGUAACGGAGGCGCGCGAAGGUUGGCUCAGAGCGGUCGGAAAUCGCUCGUUGAGUGCAAUGGCAGAAGCCAGCCUGACUGCAAGACUGACAAGUCGAGCAGAGUCGAAAGACGGCCAUAGUGAUCCGGUGGUCCCAAGUGGGAGGGCCAUCGCUCAACGGAUAAAAGGUACGCCGGGGAUAACAGGCU